rnacentral:rRNA from 1 species
UACGGAGGGAGCUAGCGUUGUUCGGAAUUACUGGGCGUAAAGCGCGCGUAGGCGGCUUUGUAAGUUAGAGGUGAAAGCCCGGGGCUCAACUCCGGAACUGCCUUCAAGACUGCAUCGGCUUGAAUCCGGGAGAGGUGAGUGGAAUUCCGAGUGAUAGAGGUGAAAGUUCGUAGAUAUUCGGAAGAACACCAGUGGCGGAAGGCGGCCUCAGCUGGACCGGUAUUGACG